AGCUCCAAUAGCGUAUAUUAAAGUUGUUGCGGUUAAAAAGCUCGUAGUUGGAUUUCUGUCUUCGGCCGGGCGGUGCCGCCUGAUAAUCAAGGGCGCGCACUGCUUUGGGAGCGUUGGUGUCAAAGCCGCGCUCUUUUAACGGUCGGACAAUACCACCGGAGUGGUGGUGCGGUCGGCGGGGUUGGCUUCGGCCCUCACUGUCGGCUCCCACCCGUAAUCGUCCGAGGUGCUAACGUUUACUUUGAACAAAUUAGAGUGCUCAAAGCAGGUGCGUGCUCGCCUGAAUAUCACAGCAUGGAAUGAUGGAAUAGGACCUCGGUCUUAUUUUGUUGGUUUUCUCUAGACCCGAGGUAAUGGUUAAUAGAGACAGACGGGGGCAUUCGUACUGCGACGCUAGAGGUGAAAUUCUUGGACCGUCGCAAGACGAACAACUGCGAAAGCAUUUGCCAAGAAUGUUUUCA
rnacentral:rRNA from 1 species